GUCUCACCUGGAAGCAGACAAAAGGAUGCAACAUUAGCAUCGGAUCCUCUGUAAGUGUAACGCAGUGACCAACUUCUCAACCACAUAUCAAAUGUUACUUCCACCCAAGUUUCC